GAACGAUUAAUUUGAAGAAAAAAAUGAAACGAUUCGGAAGAACAUCUAAACUGAUGAGAAAAGUUUGACAGCAAACAAUUUGGUUAUGUCGGUUUAAAUGUUCUUUCGAUUCUUUGAAGAUUUUUUAUUUUUAUUUGGCUGCAAUCAAAACAAAAAAAAGUAUUCUAUUCGUUCCGAGGGAUUCCUUUUGCUAAGCCACCAAUCAACGAUCUUCGAUUCAAAGCACCUGAAAAGAAUAAUCGAUGGACUGAAACAAUUGAUGCGUUCGAUUUUGGGAAUGAUUGUAUUCAAAAGAAUUCACCAACAUUCGACCCCGUAGCUAUAGGUUCAGAAGACUGCUUAUACAUUAAUGUAUACUUUCCCGGCGAUUGCAAAAGCAUCAAUUCAAAGACAAAACUACCAGUCAUGAUCAGUAUUUAUGGCGGAGGAUUUAUUGUUGGUUCAUCAAGGUUCUAUGGCCCUGACUUCUUGAUCGAAACAAAUGUUAUAGUCGUACGUAAACGAAUGAUACAAAUCAUAUUGCUUGAAUUGACAGUUCUUUCUUUCUCAGGUAACUUUCAACUAUCGGCUUGUCAUUUUCGGCUCAUUAUCCUUGGACUUGCCUGAAUAUUCAGGGAAUAUGGGUAUGAAAGAUCAGAGACUUGCAUUAAGAUGGGUUUAUGAGAAUACUGAACACUUUGGCGGAGAUAAAAAUAAAAUCACUCUUGCUGGACAUAGUGCCGGAGCGAUGUCCGUCGGCUUGCACGUGAUUAAUUCGCAGUCCAAUUUUUUUGAUUCCAAAAAGCGAUUUUGAUGAGCGGGUCAGCGCUCAAUCCAGUUAUUCCAC